UUUGGGUCUAUUAUGUUGUUCUAUCAAGUUCAUGGUGUUCCCUUGUUCUACUUACUUGUUUGUUGUGAAUAUUGUCUAAUUCUCUCUUCUUAUCGAAUUUUUUGUCCCAUUUUCCUAUCGAAGUGCUGUCGAAAUUUUUCGUGAAUUCUUGCUUCUUUCUCAUAUCAUUCCUCAUCUCUUUGCUACCUUCAAGGAUCGUUGG
rnacentral:lncRNA from 1 species